AGCGGCGGACGGGUGAGUAAUGCUUAGGAAUCUGCCUAUUAGUGGGGGACAACAUUCCCAAAGGAAUGCUAAUACCGCAUACGUCCUACGGGAGAAAGCAGGGGAUCUUCGGACCUUGCGCUAAUAGAUGAGCCUAAGUCGGAUUAGCUAGUUGGUGGGGUAAAGGCCUACCAAGGCGACGAUCUGUAGCGGGUCUGAAAGGAUGAUCCGCCACCCUGGGACUGAGACACGGCCCAAACUCCUACGGGAGGCAGCAGUGGGGAAUAUUGGACAAUGGGCGGAAGCCUGAUCCAGCCAUGCCGCGUGGGUGAAGAAGGCCUUUUGGUUGUAAAGCACUUUAAGCGAGGAGGAGGCUACCUAGAUUAAUACUCUGGGAUAGUGGACGUUACUCGCAAAAUAAGCACCGGCUAACUCUGUGCCAGCAGCCGCGGUAAUACAAAGGGUGCGAGCGUUAAUCGGAUUUACUGGGCGUAAAGCGUGCGUAGGCGGCUGAUUAAUUCGGAUGUGAAAUCCCUGAGCUUAACUUAGGAAUUGCAUUCGAUACUGGUCAGCUAGAGUAUGGGAGAGGAUGGGAAAAUUCCAGGUGUAGCGGUGAAAUGCGUAGAGAUCUGGAGGAAUACCGAUGGCGAAGGCAGCCAUCUGGCCUCUUACUGACGCUGAGGUAUAAAAGCAUGGGGAGCAAACAGGAUUAGAUAACCUGGUAGUCUAUGCCGUAAACGAUGUCUACUAGC
rnacentral:rRNA from 1 species